AGUGCAGAGAUUGUGUGUAUCGGCUUUGUGCUACAUAGUGCACUUAGUACGAAAGAGUUCUCUGCCACACUGAUAUUAUGGGCAUGAUGGGCAGCUGUUUUUCAUCUCUGUUGGUUGAAAAUUUCAACAAUCAUCUUCCCAACACCU